rnacentral:miRNA from 1 species
CGAGGACUGGACUAGUGUCA